UUUAUAUAUAUAUAAGAAUAUGUAUAUUCUUAUAUAAAAGUAUAUAUAAGAAUAUAUAUGAAACUUUCUGUAAUAAAAAAUUUAAGAACAAGGUAAGCAUAUAUGUAUAUUCUCCUCACAUAUUAUAAAAUAUAAAAGGAAUAUCUUAUACUUCUACUCCACUUCAAGCCAUAAAGAACAUAAUAAGAAUAGAGUUUACUCAGUAGAAUGACUCGAGCCUGUUCUACCAUGCUGUCUUUUUGUAAGAAUUUUAUUGGAGUAUAGUUGAUUUGUAAUGUUGUGUUAGUUUCAGGUGUAUAGCAAAGUGAGUCAGUUAUACAUAUAGCAUAUUGAUUCUUUUUUUCCUAUAUACUGUACUGCCUUAGUCUAUAUGUUAACUGAUCAAGGAGGAAUUGACAUGAAGCCAGACCUCAAGAUCUUGGCCUGACCAAGUGAGACUGUCUAGAAGUCCCCGAGUGUAAUCUGGAGGUAAAGGGGAUCAUUAUGCUUCACUGAGAUAUUUCAAAAGCUGAAUUCCUAUGUUUUUCAAUACCAAUCAUCUCUUAUUCAGCCAUUGUGGCAAAAUGCCAAAGCCCCAGUCUAAGGUUACCCUGGGAAAUUUCUUUAAAACACAAUUUCUACUUUUAUUUCUGGAUUAUCAGAAAUAACUGGAUCCUUCUGGGGAUAAUAUAAACUAUUUGUCCCAUGUUCUGGGCAGAAUAUUGGCAUUUCUGAUGGAUGGGAGAAACUUAAAUCCAUUUUGGAAGAGAAAAGGGAAGAGGAGAAAUCAAUGUCUCAAUGUUCUAGAUUGAAUUUUCAAAAGUUUUUUAAAAAUUUUAAAACAAUUCUUCUAAGGUUUUACUCAUAAACAUAUGUGUGUCUCCCUUCCAUUAAAAAAUUCUUUCAAUAUUUCUCAGACUGUUCUUAAUCUGUUCUUUGCAAUUGUCAUAAAUCAGUAUCUUUACUGAGAACAGCACAGAUCCAACACUGUCAUUAAAAGUUUCCUACUCACACUAUACCCAGACAUAAAACUGGACUAUACCACAAAUCUUAGGACUAUCCCAAGAAGACUUCAAAUUUACAUGAAUUUUAAACCGACAUCUCUGUUAUUAGCAGCAGAUAGAGACUAAGUCCCAAGAUAUAAUGUCACUAAAGCACUAUUCUAUAAUCAGUUAAACAAGGUUUAGGUUUCAAAAUCUACUCUACAUGGAAGAUAAAACAAACAAACCAACAAACAAACAUGACUUCAAAUCAUUAUGUACUAUGUCAUUGUUACCCAUUCUGGUUAAUCAAAGCACAUAACUCAUCAAACUAGGACAAUGAACCAUAUGUACAUGAUCCAGUUACAUUAGUCUUAUUGGUCCUUGCCAAUCUGACAAAACCCAGCUUCAUGUUAAUAAUGAUGUCUCCCUUAAGAAAGAUCUGAAAUUCUUCUACCUACCUCCCACUCCUCCUAGCUCUGCACAAAAAACAUUCUUAACAGUAGAUAAAUGGACCCACUUCUUGAGGAUGACACCUGUGAAGUUACUCAGACACAGAGAUACAAAGACAUGAAUUCAUUUCUUCUUCCAAUGUAGCCUUUAAGUCACCUUUCUCUAGUAUACCUUUAUCACGUUAAUUUUGAAUGAUGUAUCUAUUUCAUCACACCCUCCAACUCUGUAACAAUCACUAAUACUUCUUGAAUGUCUUCUUUAGUCCUGGCACUCACGAGGUCUGUGUGUAUACUUGGCCAAUCUUCACAAUAAAUGUGUAAAGAAGAUAUUACUUUUUUAAAAUGAGGAAACGAAUAGCCAGAGAGAUUAAGCUCAAGGUAACCCAGCAAUAAAUGAUAGAGCUUAAAUUCUAACCUUAGCCCAUCUUCCUUUCUCUUCUGUUCUAUCUGCUGUUUCCUUUCCACUCUCUACAUAUCUCAACAGAACUGUGUUCCCACUUUCUGGGACUUUCACUCUCCUUUAUAACCACAGCACCUAGUUCUCAUUGUGUAGAGGUCUGCCCCAUCCAGCUAUCUAUGCUGAAUGGAGAAAUUGGCUACCUCUGGAUGUUUACUAUUGAGAGGUCCAUUUGGCUCUCAUCCUUAAGCCACAUUUCACGGUAAUCACCUUUGCCACUAAUAAGGGUAAUAUUUUGUUUUUCACCUACCUUAUUUCUGUAUCUCGUUUCUCAGUUGGUUCAAAACCCAGAUGGGGAAGGAAGAUGUUAUUUAUUGGGCCUGUUCUGACAUCACUGUCUUAGAACACGAGCUCUUGAGUCUGAAUGGAUUUUGCCUUUGCUUAUUAAGAAAGAGGGUUCCUUAUGCAAAUCAAUACUGUAAGCAAAUACAGUAGUUGUUUAACCUGCACGCGCGUGUGCACACACAGAGACAGAAAUUAGGUUAAGAACAUAUGUGUUAAUUUGCCUCUGAGGAACAAUUUUAAUUAUAAAUGAAACUUUUUUAUUCCUUGACUAGGCCCAGUAGGGCUUCUCUUUGGCAGUACCUACAUUUUUAUUUUUAGCAUUUGGUUAGAAAUGUUCUUUGUGAUUGAAAGCAAUAAAAUGAUUUUCAUUUAAAAGUGGUCAGACUGAUAUUCUCUCCCGUAACAAUGAGUCAUUAAGACUUUAAGCUUUUCUAACUUCUCCCUUUGUUGAAUUAAUAUCAAGACCCUUUCAACUUGCAAGUGGAAAGUAAUACAGCUUGCUGUGCAACCAAACCCAAGAAGCCCCACAGUGUAAAUACUACUCUUAGUACAUGGAGUCAAAGCCAGUUCAGCUCUUACAGGAUUCCUUUGAAUACAAGUCCCUCGCCAGCAACCAACAUAUUUUCUUAGCAAGAGGAAAAAUAGUUCACAGCAUGUUCCAUUACUUGCUAGUUCUUAGCUCCUAAAUAAUAAAAGUCAGUAAUCAGUGAAGUCAAAAUAAUGAUUUUAAACUCACACGGGGACCACCAGGUUACCAAUUACUCCAAAAAAAAGGAGAACAGGUUUAUGAUCAGAUGGCCCAUAGCAUUAAUUAAUAGCUGAAAAAUGGCAAGAAUCAAGGAUUCAUUUCAGUGCUUUAUGACUCACAUGCGAACGAUCAUAUGGAAAAUCAGAAUGAUUGCUGGAAAUAUAGAGACCCCGUUGCCCAGGAGAAAUGGGAUGUCCUAACUUCUGGGGUUUCACAGACAGUAAACGGAUCAUCAGGGACCCUUCCUGCACAUUUCACAGUUCAUUUCAAGGUGCAUCCUAUGUGUCACAACCCCAAACACAAAUACCUGUGGGGUCAAACAGGUAACAAAAAUAAGUAACAUGGGACCAUGGGCCCCUAGUAACUAGUUCACACAACUCUAAAUUUUCAGUAGGACUAGCUACACAAUCGGUGCAGCCAAUGCACAAUGAAAUGAAAGGCCCCUUGUUCUCAAAACAGCAAAAAAGGUACAUGAAAGGUACUAAAAUAUGAAGCUUUUUAAUUUCUCCCCAGUCUCCUUGAGUCUCUGUCUCUCUUUCCCCAUGACCUUCUCUCUCUGUCAAGAACUUUUCAUUUGUUAUUUAAGGUUGCAUUUCCCCAGGUGCAGGAAAACUCAUGAGUGUAGACCCUACGGGGUAAGACCUAAAAUUAAGACUCAGUAUGACGUGCUGCCUUGACAUCUGAAGCCAGAAGGGUCUCAAAAGGCCUAAUGGCAAGUCCCCGCUCUGCUCCUUCCUUGCCAAACACCCCACCUUAUCAUGGGGCCCAGGCACAGGGUCUGCUUAUUCCUGAGUAAUAGGUUUCAGUCCCCUGCCAGCCCACAGAAUUACUCAGACAAGCCAAUCCCAUCCUCUUCUGGAAACCAGGGGUCACCACUACCUCAUGUUACUACAAAGCCUCUACAAAGAAAUUACUCUCUCCUUUUCUUUCUUGGAACAUGGUGGCCUCUCAGUAUGCCUUCCAUUAUUCUGUUUGGAUAGAUACCAAAAAUAUUUCAACUUCUCUUAAUUCUUUGCCAUGGAAAGAGCACUGCAGGUUUGACUGUGAGGGCCCGCUAAUAUCAGCCUCAGUGUAGCGGGGCAAGUAGAGUGUGGUUUGGGGACCUCAUGCCCUGUCAUGGAGCCUUCACCACCCAGCCUGCAAAUCAUUGCCACAUGUGAGCCCAAGAUUGCCAGAGCUGCCAUAUUUUCAAGGAAAGCCAGUAAUUCAGGUUUUUACAGGAAAAUUAAACUUAUUUAUAAAUGAUGAUGACUGAUGGGGAAAAAAUUUAAUGGUGAUUUAGCCCACACUAAAAGGACAAAAUAAAAAACACAUGUAGGUAGCAUUCAGCCAUGUUUGAUGGUCUCUGACAUGGAAGAAGAGUACCGCUGUCAUAAAAAUCCCAUUUAUUGCUGUGCUGUGACACCAUGUCACACCAUCAUUAUUUAUGUAUUUGCCUCUUUCCUCCACUAGACCCUGAGCUCCCUGUUGAAGGGUGUAUGUCUGCACUUGGCGCAAUGGUCUGGCAUGCACCAGCUGCUACAGAAUCUCCCAUUAAAUGAUUUACAUUCAAUUAAUACUUAUUAAGAACCAACAAUUUCCCAGGCACUGAGAUGAACCAAACAAAUAAUACACAUAUUCAAUGAAUGAAUCUUUCAUUUUAAAGACUUCCUUCUUGUCUUUUCAAUGAGACUUUAAAAUCUCUAAGUUCUUUUAAAAUCACACCUAUCAGUAGCAGAGGGUCAGGUGCAGGGAUUUUUUUACUCUGCAAAAGUGAGCCUUCAACCAAGAAACACAUUAAAGAUCACCUGUGAAUUCACAUGGGGCAUCACAUGGUGACAGAGGGCUUGCAGUUGAAAUCCUCUGGGUGUGCCCCACCCUACAUGGUAUUAAAAACCUCUACAGUUAAGACUGCCAAGCCACCCUCCACCCUACCCAAUUAUUUGGGGCCCAUUCACCAUUAUCUAUAACCAUUCUUUCAACAGAUAUUAAUUUGAGGGCCUAAAAUAUAACAAGUGAUGUGUGAGCUUAGAGGGACCACAGGACUGAAUCAAUGUAGUCUUGCCCUCAGUUGCUCUAAGACUAUAUAGAAAGACAAUUUUAGAAGCUCCCAUGGUGGCUCAGUGGUUAACGAAUCCGACUAGGAACCAUGAGGUUGCGGGUUCAGUCCCUGGUCUUGCUCAGUGGGUUAAGGAUCCGGCAUUGCCGUGAGCUGUGGUAUAGCUUGCAGAUGCGGCUCGGAUCCCGUGUAGCUGUGGCUCUGGUGUAGGCCAGCGGCUACAGCUCCAGAUAGACCCCUAGACUGGGAACCUCCACAUGCUGCGGGAGUGGCCCUAGUAAAGGCAAAAAGACAAAAAAAAUAAAUAAAUAAGAAAGACAAUUUUACCCUUAUUCCAUCUAACUUGCUUUUUUGGUCCACAAAUUCCUUCUUGCAGGAAAAUCAGCUCCAUCUAUCUAUUCUUCUUGGCCUCUUUUCUACGGUACAGCCCCACUGACCCCCAGCACGACAUAAUAUAACAAGUGGGGCCAACCCAGUGUGUAUGAGGCCCAUAGGUUUACACUGGCCUGAACUGUCUCAGGGUAUAUAGGCACAUUUACUCUCAUGGUUCACUCAUGAAGACAUCACUACCUUUAUCCCAUACAAGUCCUCCCUCACACUCCCACCUCUUAGGAUACCUAUGGCACAACCAAGCCAGAAUUGCUCUUAACCUGUUUUCAGGCUUCCGUGGCUGAGUAACCACAUUGGUGUUUCCCAAAUCGACCACUGCCUGCAAACCACUGCCCAUUCUGCAUUAGUAACAAUAAUAACAAUUACCACUUAUUGACUCUUUACUCCAAUUGACUUUUUACUCUUGACCUAUUCUGAACAUACUAUGUAUAGUAUCUAAGACAGUUCUUACAUAUUCACACACACAGUCUCUAAGGUAGUCUCUAGAGUAACCUGGAAAGAAGUCAGUUCAGGGAAUCUAGGUUAUGAUGCCAACACUUGUUUGAAACUCGCACUGCUUAUGUUUACAUAAGACCCCAAAUCUUAAUUCUGCACUUCCUUGUAGGAAUCCUGAUGCUGAGGUUCUCAGAUAUGGAUAUUUUACAUACUGCAUGUGGGAACUAGCUCAGAUUCUCUCUCCCUAACCUUUCCAAAUCCACUGCUAUUCACCCAUGGCCACAUCAUCACGUUCUGGGGCAUUCUGCUAGGCGGUCUCCCUAGAAUUCAAACAGGAAGAAGGGAACAGGUGGUGGGACACCUAUGUCCUGUUUCCCCAAUCUUUACCUUUGGCUUCCGUCCUAAUCCCUCUUCCCCACCUUCUUCCAAGUGUUGGAGUCACUGGGUACCUCCGAGUGACCCCACAAGCAUUUUCACCCUAGCUUUCACCUUCUGACUCUUGCUUCCAUUAGCUAAGCUCCUGCUUCCCAUGGUAAGAGAGCUUUCUACCAUUUCUUAAUAGGACAUCCUCUUAAACCUUAUAUUUUAUCUUCUGUGUACUGUGUCUUGGCUCUUGUCAUGAUUAGAAGUAUGAGUGGAAUUUAAAUAACCAUUUUCUCUUUCAACAAGCCUUAGCUUUCAUUGAAGAUUCAAGCAAAUUGUUCUGAAACUCAAAAAUGAGCACUGAUCUCUUUGUUCUAAGUGUACCCUGAAAAAAUUAAUGUUUGGGGUAGAUGAGUUGCCCUUUGGACAAGAUAAUUUAUGGAGAAUAAAAUGCAUUGGUAUGGUAUAUUUUUUAAAUGCUAUCCCAGGGUCAGUAACACUCAGAGUAGAAAGAGGUUGAAGUUACACUUGUUAUUUUCUGUCUCAAAACAAAGCUUCAAAAGGAAACAGUCUUCAGACUGAAUAAAAUGCACUGUGUCACCUGCCAUGUGCAUCUGCCUUCCUGGAUGCCAAGAUAUUGGAGGAGAUGAAUAUAUGGAUCCUCUACCACUCUGCCUUCCUCUCCACACUCAUCCCUAAUCCACCCCUUUCUCUUGUACUUACCUAGGCUGCCUGAGUGCCAUUAUUCUUGCAUCAGACCAAGAGUUAAGAUUUUUAAGUUGAGUGACUGAAAAAGCCUUUUUUUUUUAUUACUUAUAUCUUGCUUAUUAAAUAACAUUUAAUCAUUUCUGGCGAGUGUUGAUGGAGCAAACUCUUGGAUAGUAGAUGUCUGGAAACAUAUCUACACUUUCCAGCAUGAGCUUGUGUUAAAAAUUGCAACUAGAACUGUUUUCAUGCUAAACGUGUUCAUACAGUACUUGAAAGUUUAAUGUAGAAAACCUCUCUGUCUUUGAGAUGACGCAAUUAAACAACUUACCAAGUGAUUCAUCUAUCAAUUAGGUUUAACCUGUCUUACUUCAUUUAUAAUUUGGGUUCCUAAGAACUAGGGUAGACUUCCUCCCUAUGGAAGGGACCAUGGACCCUGGUUCAUGCCUACAGUGCCAUGCUUUGGGACAGCAGGACAGUUUGCUUCUAAUCCAGAGUCCUGAGACAACAAUGCAGCCGAUGACUGCCCCACAAUGUUCUAGGCUUGCUUAGUUGUUACUCUCCUUCAACACAUCCUCCCCUGCUGAGCCAUUUAGAAGUGAUGACCUGGCUAAUUCUUCAUAUUUGAACAUCCAGACCACAUACCACCAGACUUGUUCUAAGGAUAUCAUUAUCAGGUACACUAUCCAGGUCAGAGCCUCAUCUAGUACCACGUUAAGCCCAGGAAUCUCAUCAACAGGCUCCCUGGCAUCUUUCUAUGUCGACAUUCAUGGUAUUCAAUGCUGAGUCUCUGAGGUAUGCAUUUUGUGUAUUGACUUAAUCCCACCUUUAUCUUCCCAUUAUAGCCACUUAAUCAUUUAGCUGUGAUUGCUAUUAUUAUAUUCCCCAAACUGCCCAAAUACCUUCUUAAAAUGAGGCAAUAGGUAAACACUAACCAGACCAGCCUAGAAUUGUCAUUAAAAAAAAAAAAAACCCUCUAGUAAUUAUAAACCAAAUGUUAGAGCUAAGAAUCAGCAACCCAGCUGUGUAAUGUCCCUGCCUUGUUCCCUGAGUACUACUGACCUAUGUUAUAAAGCCCAGACCUUUCCUUGGCCAAGAGCAGGUCAGUUUCCAUGGAGACAAUGAUGACAGUGACUGAGCAGGACUCCAGGGAUGAGAGGUAGAGCCUUCCAGAAGAUUUAGAUUGAGGCUGACUCUAUCCUAAUUUCUUUCCAUAUAGUCAAUAUAGACAGCCUACCUGCUGGGAGCAGAGAUAUCAAAACUCCCACGUUUUUUGGUCUCUACAAAUGGGUUCAUUUCCAGUCCCCAGGAGGUAGCACAGAGCAUUGGAAAGCACAAGAUUUGAAAUCAAACCCAGUUAUCCACCCUUACAGACCAUGUGAUCUUAGAAAGUUACUUAACUUCUUGAAGCUGGUGUUA
rnacentral:lncRNA from 1 species